rnacentral:rRNA from 1 species
UACGUAGGGGCAAGCGUUGUCCGGAUUUAUUGGCGUAAGAGCGUGUAGGCGGCCAACAGGUCCACUGUGAAAACGUCGAGGCCUCAACCUCGAGAGGUCGUGGAAACCGUGUGGCUAGAGUCCGGAAGAGGAGAGUGGAAUUCCCGGUGUGAGCGGUGAAAUGACGCAGAUAUCGGGAAGAACACCCGUGGCGAAGGCGGCUCUCUGGGACGGUACUGACGCUGAGGAGCGAAAGCGUGGGAGCGAACAGG